AAAUAUAUUGGCUUGUUUAAUGUAUAAAGUUGCCUUUUUUUUUUGAAUGAAAUGCUUUGGAGUUCUGACUGGCGUGAUAAGCAGAACAGCAGUGCCACAAGAAAAACAUUUCAUGGAGAAAAUCAAGCUUUUGGGGAACGCCACAAUCACAUCCACACUCCUGACAUCUGUGUCUAAACUGUCUCCUUUGCCAAAUGCGACUAUGAAGGACGGAGUGAAAUUUCUAGCUCUACUUUUCCCUUCAAGAGAACAUCACGUUAGGAUACAUUAUCCAGUUUCCAUGUGUGGACCAAUUUGAAUUUCACAUUUUCUUCAUCCCUGACUUGACACACUUCAACCCUAGCAUCUUCCAUUGGUCCUAACUACUGCAGAAUGGAAAUGACAACACAGCAUCAGAAAGACAGUUUGAACUUCAUUCACUACAACAGUCACGAACUGGUUGAACUCUACCUGCCAUCCAACUUGAAGAAACGAAGACCUGGCACUGGGAAGAAGAAACAAAACCCAAACAAAACAAUACAAAGCAACUGCGAAUUAAUGUAAAAAUGGAGUGCAAAUGCGACUACAGAAUGCAAUAAAAACAUCAGUGCUGCAGAUUCCAGCAGCACUUAUCAAAAUAAUUUCUGAAAUGUUUCAUCUGAAACAUAGACAAAGCAAUAAAAAGAGG
ensembl:lncRNA